rnacentral:rRNA from 1 species
UACGAAGGGGGCUAGCGUUGUUCGGAAUCACUGGGCGUAAAGCGCACGUAGGCGGAUUUUUAAGUCAGGGGUGAAAUCCCGGGGCUCAACCUCGGAACUGCCUUUGAUACUGGAGAUCUUGAGUCCGGAAGAGGUAAGUGGAACUGCGAGUGUAGAGGUGAAAUUCGUAGAUAUUCGCAAGAACACCAGUGGCGAAGGCGGCUUACUGGUCCGGAACUGACGCUGAGGUGCGAAAGCGUGGGGGAGCAAACAGG